AGUAGCAAUACUUAGUGGCAGACGGGUGAGUAACAUGUAGGUAUCUGCCCUUUGGCCUGGAAUAACACGAGGAAACUUGUGCUAAUACCGGAUAAGUCUUUACGGAGAAAGCUUUAUGCACCAUUGGAUGAGCCUGCACUUGAUUAGUUUGUUGGUGGGGUAAUGGCCUACCAAGACUGUGAUCAAUAGCUGAUUUGAGAGGAUGAUCAGCCACAUUGGGACUGAGACACGGCCCAAACUCCUACGGGAGGCAGCAGUGGGGAAUCUUGCACAAUGGAGGAAACUCUGAUGCAGCGAUGCCGCGUGAGUGAAGAAGGCCCUUGGGUUGUAAAGCUCUUUCGUCGGGGAAGAAAAUGACUGUACCCGAAUAAGAAGGUCCGGCUAACUUCGUGCCAGCAGCCGCGGUAAUACGAAGGGACCUAGCGUAGUUCGGAAUUACUGGGCUUAAAGAGUUCGUAGGUGGUUGAAAAAGUUGGUGGUGAAAUCCCAGAGCUUAACUCUGGAACUGCCAUCAAAACUUUUCAGCUAGAGUAUGAUAGAGGAAAGCAGAAUUUCUAGUGUAGAGGUGAAAUUCGUAGAUAUUAGAAAGAAUACCAAUUGCGAAGGCAGCUUUCUGGAUCAUUACUGACACUGAGGAACGAAAGCAUGGGUAGCGAAGAGGAUUAGAUACCCUCGUAGUCCAUGCCGUAAACGAUGUGUGUUAGACGUUGGAAAUUUAUUUUCAGUGUCGCAGCGAAAGCGAUAAACACACCGCCUGGGGAGUACGACCGCAAGGUUAAAACUCAAAUGAAUUGACGGGGACCCGCACAAGUAGUGGAGCAUGUGGUUUAAUUCGAUGCAACGCGAAGAACCUUACCAACCCUUGAAAUCUAGCGAAGUUCACAGAGAUGAGAAUGUGCCUUCGGGAACGCUAUGACAGGUGUUGCAUGGCUGUCGUCAGCUCGUGUCGUGAGAUGUAUGGUUAAGUCCAGUAACGAGCGCAACCCCUAUCCUUAUUUGCCAGCGCGUCAAGGCGGGAACUAUAGGGAGACUGCCGGGUGAAACCCGGAGGAAGGCGGGGACGAGGUCAAGUCAUCAUGGCCCUUAUGGGUUGGGCUACACACGUGCUACAAUGGGAAGUACAGAGGGAUGCUAAAGCGCGAGCUGGAGCCAAACCCUUAAAACUUUUCUUAGUCCGGAUUGGAGUCUGCAACUCGACUCCAUGAAGUCGGAAUCACUAGUAAUCGCGAAUCAGAAUGUCGCGGUGAAUACGUUCUCGGGCCUUGUACACACCGCCCGUCACAUCAUGGAAGUGGGUUCUACCUUAAGGC
rnacentral:rRNA from 1 species